UCUCUCUCUCUCUCUCUCUCUCUCUCUCUCUCUUGUGUGCGGGUCUGUCUCUUCUAGCUUUUCUUUUCAGAAGAACUUUCUGCAGCACUGAAAUUGAAGACAAGAAAUCAUCUCUCUCUAUCUCUCUCCAGGCUGUUCCUUUCUUUCUAUACUUUCUUUUUCUUUCUUGCUCUUAUAUGAAGAUGUUGCAGUCGCUGGCAAUUACAGGGGGAUGAUUAUAGCUCCUCCGCCAUGAUUAAGAACUGUGCUUUCAAUCCCAAGGCUUUUCAGCAAAGACCCCUCAAGAGAAGGCAAUGAUAUCACUCAUGCCUCUCUCUCUCGCUCUCUCUCUCUCUCUC
rnacentral:lncRNA from 1 species